rnacentral:rRNA from 1 species
UACGUAGGGUGCAAGCGUUAAUCGGAAUUACUGGGCUUAAAGGGUGCGUAGGCGGUGCAGAAAGUUGGGUGUGAAAGCCCUCGGCUCAACCGAGGAAUUGCGCCCAAAACUGCUGCACUAGAGGAAGACAGAGGUACGCGGAACUUAGGGUGGAGCGGUGAAAUGCGUAGAGAUCCGAAGGAACGCCGGUGGCGAAAGCGGCGUGCUGGACACCUUCUGACGCUGAGGCGCGAAAGCCAGGGGAGCAAACGGG